rnacentral:rRNA from 1 species
UACGGGGGGGGGCAAGCGUUGUUCGGAAUUACUGGGCGUAAAGGGCUCGUAGGCGGCCAACUAAGUCCGACGUGAAAUCCCCAGGCUUAACCUGGGAACUGCGUCGGAUACUGGAUGGCUUGAAUCCGGGAGAGGGAUGCGGAAUUCCAGGUGUAGCGGUGAAAUGCGUAGAUAUCUGGAGGAACACCGGUGGCGAAGGCGGCAUCCUGGACCGGCAUUGACGCUGAGGAGCGAAAGCCAGGGGAGCAAAACGGGG